rnacentral:rRNA from 1 species
AACGAACGCUGGCGGCAUGCCUAACACAUGCAAGUCGAACGAGACCUUCGGGUCUAGUGGCGCACGGGUUCGUAACGCGUGGGAACCUGCCCUUAGGUUCGGAAUAACUCCCCGAAAGGGGUGCUAAUACCGGAUAAUGUCUUCGGACCAAAGAUUUAUCGCCUUUGGAUGUGCCCGCGUUGGAUUAGCUAGUUGGUAGGGUAAAAGCCUACCAAGGCGACGAUCCAUAGCUGGUCUGAGAGGAUGAUCAGCCACACUGGGACUGAGACACGGCCCAGACUCCUACGGGAGGCAGCAGUGGGGAAUAUUGGACAAUGGGCGAAAGCCUGAUCCAGCAAUGCCGCGUGAGUGAUGAAGGCCUUAGGGUUGUAAAGCUCUUUUACCCGGGAUGAUAAUGACAGUACCGGGAGAAUAAGCUCCGGCUAACUCCGUG